UAGAGUUUGAUCAUGGCUCAGGAUGAACGCUAGCGACAGGCUUAACACAUGCAAGUCGAGGGGCAGCGGGGAGGUAGCAAUACUUCCGCCGGCGACCGGCGCACGGGUGAGUAACACGUAUGGAACCUGCCCGUAGCAGGGGGAUAAACGGAAGAAAUUCCGUCUAAUACCGCGUAAUAACUCCGAGAGGCAUCUCAUGGAGUUUAAAGGGUAACACCGGCUACGGAUGGCCAUGCGGCGCAUUAGCUAGUUGGCGGGGUAACGGCCCACCAAGGCGACGAUGCGUAGGGGUUCUGAGAGGAAGGUCCCCCACACUGGUACUGAGACACGGACCAGACUCCUACGGGAGGCAGCAGUGAGGAAUAUUGGUCAAUGGGCGCGAGCCUGAACCAGCCAAGUCGCGUGAGGGAAGACGGUCCUAUGGAUUGUAAACCUCUUUUGUCGGGGAGCAAAAGACGCCACGUGUGGCGUUCCGAGAGUACCCGAAGAAAAAGCAUCGGCUAACUCCGUGCCAGCAGCCGCGGUAAUACGGAGGAUGCGAGCGUUAUCCGGAUUUAUUGGGUUUAAAGGGUGCGCAGGCGGAAGAUCAAGUCAGCGGUAAAAUUGAGAGGCUCAACCUCUUCGAGCCGUUGAAACUGGUUUUCUUGAGUGAGCGAGAAGUAUGCGGAAUGCGUGGUGUAGCGGUGAAAUGCAUAGAUAUCACGCAGAACUCCGAUUGCGAAGGCAGCAUACCGGCGCUCAACUGACGCUCAUGCACGAAAGUGUGGGUAUCGAACAGGAUUAGAUACCCUGGUAGUCCACACAGUAAACGAUGAAUACUAAUUGUUCGGGGAGAAUGAUCCCUGAGUGAUACAGCGAAAGCGUUAAGUAUUCCACCUGGGGAGUACGCCGGCAACGGUGAAGCUCAAAGGAAUUGACGGGGGCCCGCACAAGCGGAGGAACAUGUGGUUUAAUUCGAUGAUACGCGAGGAACCUUACCCGGGCUCAAACGACACAGGAAUACUUUUGAAAGGAGGUAGCUCUACGGAGUCUGUGUCGAGGUGCUGCAUGGUUGUCGUCAGCUCGUGCCGUGAGGUGUCGGCUUAAGUGCCAUAACGAGCGCAACCCCCAUCGCCAGUUACCAGCAAGUCAAGUUGGGGACUCUGGCGAGACUGCCGGCGCAAGCUGUGAGGAAGGCGGGGAUGACGUCAAAUCAGCACGGCCCUUACGUCCGGGGCGACACACGUGUUACAAUGGCAGGUACAGAGAGAAGCAAUGCGGCGACGCAAAGCGGAACUUGAAAGCCUGUCUCAGUUCGGAUUGGAGUCUGCAACUCGACUCCAUGAAGCUGGAUUCGCUAGUAAUCGCGCAUCAGCCAUGGCGCGGUGAAUACGUUCCCGGGCCUUGUACACACCGCCCGUCAAGCCAUGGAAGCCGGGAGUGCCUGAAGUGUGCAACCGCAAGGAGCGCCCUAAGGUAAAACUGGUGACUGGGGCUAAGUCGUAACAAGGUAACCGUAA
rnacentral:rRNA from 1 species